AUGUCAUGAUAGGGACACUUCCUAACCAAAUCAUUAAACCUUUCCCAUGCCUCAUGAAAUAUCUCCCCAUCCCCUUGAGAAAAUUCUCAAAUAAAAGUUCUCAUUGC